GCGCCUCUCCCGCCACACCUCCCUGCAAGCUGAGGGAGCCGGCUCCUGCCUUGGCCAGGCUAGAAAGGGGCUCCCACAGUGCAGGGGCGGGCUGAAGGGCUCCUCAAGUGCCACCAAAGUGGGAGCCCAGGCAGAGGAGGUGCCGAGAGCGAGCGAGGGCUGCGAGGACUGCCAGCAGCUGUCACCUCUCGUUACCAUCACUCCUAGUGACCAUUUCGGAUAAUCCACCUUGCCUCAUCAAACCAGAAAACAAUUCAAACCUGGCCUCCUUCUAACUGGAAGCCACAUUUUAAGAACUUAUUGUGAAGAACUGGAAAGCCUCCAAUAGAACAGAAGCUAAAAGCAGAAAUUAUAAAAGCUGUUACACCUACUCAGCUCUAUUACAUGUUGGAAAAACUGAACCAGAGAAACAAUUACAUACACUCUUGUCUUCUGGAAAAGCUGAAUUGGGUUUUGGUCUGAAUCAAUAGGACCCAUUAUACAGGCUGCCUUUCCAGCUCUCCAAUCAUACUUCCAAGAAAACUGCUCACUCUCAGAACCAAGGUUCAAGUUGUACAUUGGGAUUUGGGUAGAGGCUAUAUAUACAGUGAUGCCCAUCUACCCCUGAGAUCUAAAAAUCUAAGAUGAAAACGAGCACACAGUCUUGGCAGCAUUGGGGUAACAGACUAUGAAAGAAGAAAUCAGAUUGGAAAAUUCAGUAUAUCAAUGAAGAAAAUAAUCACUCAAGGAGAGGAAUAAACAGCAAAACAAUCUAAAAAAAAAAAAAAAAAAAAAAA
rnacentral:lncRNA from 1 species